rnacentral:rRNA from 1 species
CAGAGGGUGCAAGCGUUAAUCGGAGUUACUGGGCGUAAAGGGCGCGUAGGCGGUUGUUUAAGUGAGAUGUGAAAUCCCUGGGCUUAACCUAGGAACUGCAUCUUAUACUGGGCAACUGGAGUACUGUAGAGGGUAGUGGAAUUCCCGGUGUAGCGGUGAAAUGCGUAGAGAUCGGAAGGAACACCAGUGGCGAAGGCGGCUACCUGGACAGAUACUGACGCUGAGGCGCGAGAGCGUGGGGAGCAAACAGGAUUAGAUACCCUGGUAGUCCACGCUGUAAACGAUGAGAACUAGAUGUUGGUAGGCUUGACCUAUUAGUAUCGAAGCUAACGCGAUAAGUUCUCCGCCUGGGGAGUACGGCCGCAAGGUUA